UACGUAGGGGGCAAGCGUUGUCCGGAUUUAUUGGGCGUAAAGAGCGUGUAGGCGGCCAAGCAGGUCAGCUGUGAAAACUCGAGGCUCAACCUCGAGACGUCGGUUGAAACCGCUUGGCUAGAGUCCGGAAGAGGAGAGUGGAAUUCCCGGUGUAGCGGUGAAAUGCGCAGAUAUCGGGAAGAACACCCGUGGCGAAGGCGGCUCUCUGGGACGGUACUGACGCGUGAGA
rnacentral:rRNA from 1 species